ensembl:processed_transcript
CUCUGCCUGUUCCUGUCCUCAUCCUCAACUCUUCUCAAUGUUCUUCAUCCUCAUCUUCAUCAGUGCAGUAUUGUUCAGUGCUGUGUUCAGUGGUGAAUGUGAGCGCUGUGAGUCUCUCCUGGUACAAAGGAAACAGUUUAUUGUCCAGCAUCAGUGUGUCUGAUCUCAGCAUCAGUCUCUCUCUACCUCUGGAGGUGGAAUAUCAGGAGAAAAACACCUACAGCUGUGUGAUCAACAACACCAUCAGCAACCAGACUCAACAUCUGGACAUCAGUCAACUCUGUCCCACAUGUUCAGGCUCUGUUCACUGCUGUGGUCCUACUGAAGCUGUGAUCCGAUUGGUCCUCUCUGUUCUGGUGGGCGUGGCUACUGUCAUUAUUGUGCUUUAUGACAUCAGAUCCAGAAGAGCUGAACCAGAUCAAGCACAUAUUCACGCAUCACA